rnacentral:tRNA from 1 species
AAGGGAGACCUAAUUCCGGUAGGAGACGAAAAAAAAGUAGUCCCAACCAAGAAUCAAUCCCAAAAGGUCGGAACGAGGUAUGAGGCUUUCAAACUAGGUUCUGGGUUCAUAAAAGACCUGAAUCAGGAACAAGGGCUAUUAGCUCAGGUGGUUAGAGCGCACCCCUGAUAAGGGUGAGGUCCCUGGUUCGAGUCCAGGAUGGCCCACCUGCACAGGUGGCAAAAACAAGAGAAGCGAGGAAUCAGCACCUUAUCUUAUCUAUAUAUAUAUAGGAGAGAAUGCUGGCUCUGAGUAAAGAGUCCAGAGGAACCUUGAAAACUGCAUAGAGCUAGGUGAAAAAGCCAAAAAAGAAGACCGCAA